UACGAAGGGGGCUAGCGUUGCUCGGAAUCACUGGGCGUAAAGCGCACGUAGGCGGAUUGUUAAGUCAGGGGUGAAAUCCUGGAGCUCAACUCCCGAACUGCCUUUGAUACUGGCGAUCUUGAGUCCGGGAGAGGUGAGUGGAACUGCGAGUGUAGAGGUGAAAUUCGUAGAUAUUCGCAAGAACACCAGUGGCGAAGGCGGCUCACUGGCCCGGUACUGACGCUGAGGUGCGAAAGCGUGGGGAGCAAACAGG
rnacentral:rRNA from 1 species